GACGAACGCUGGCGGCGUGCCUAAUACAUGCAAGUCGAGCGAGCUUGCCUGGAUCAAUUUGUUGCUUGCACCAGAUGAAACGAGAUACAAACGAGCGGCUAACGGGCGAGGAACACGUGGGUAACCUGCCCAAAAGACUGGUAUAACACCUGGACACAGAUGCUCAUACCGGAUAACAACACUAGACGCAUGUCUAGAGUUUAAAGAAUGAUUCUGCUAGCACUAUUGGAUGGACCUGCGAUGCAUUAGCUAGUUGGUAAGUCAACGGCUUACCAAGGAAAGGAUGAAUAGCCGCGUUGAGAGGUUAUCGGGCAACAUUGGAAUUGAGCACGGGCCCGACCCCCUCAGGGAGGCAGAAGUAGGGAAUUUUCGACAAGGGAGGCAACUUUGAUGGAGCAACGCGGCGUGGGUGAAGAAGGGUUUGGGCCCUUAAAGUUUUGUUGGUAGUGAAGAAAGAUAGGGGUAGUAACUGUUCACUCUUUGACGGUAACUACUCAGAAAGUCACGGCUAACUACGUG
rnacentral:rRNA from 1 species